rnacentral:rRNA from 1 species
CCUACGAGAGGCUGCAGUGGGGAAUAUUGGACAAUGGGGGGAACCCUGAUCCAGCCGUGCCGCGUGUGUGAAGAAGGCCCUCGGGUUGUAAAGCACUUUCAGUGAGGAAGAACGCCUGGUGGUUAAUACCCAUCAGGAAAGACAUCACUCACAGAAGAAGCACCGGCUAACUCCGUGCCAGCAGCCGCGGUAAUACGGAGGGUGCGAGCGUUAAUCGGAAUUACUGGGCGUAAAGCGCGCGUAGGUGGCUUGAUAAGCCGGUUGUGAAAGCCCCGGGCUCAACCUGGGAACGGCAUCCGGAACUGUCAAGCUAGAGUGCAGGAGAGGAAGGUAGAAUUCCCGGUGUAGCGGUGAAAUGCGUAGAGAUCGGGAGGAAUACCAGUGGCGAAGGCGGCCUUCUGGACUGACACUGACACUGAGGUGCGAAAGCGUGGGUAGCAAACAGGAUUAGAUACCCCGGUAGUC